GACGAACGCUGGCGGCGUGCUUAACACAUGCAAGUCGAACGCUGAGGCUUGGGUGUUUUUCAUCUGGGUGGAUGAGUGGCGAACGGGUGAGUAAUACGUGAGUAACCUGCCCUUGACUCUGGGAUAAGCCUGGGAAACUGGGUCUAAUACUGGAUACUACGUGCCCUGGCAUGGGGGUGUGUGGAAAGGGUUUUACUGGUUUUGGAUGGGCCCACGGCCUAUCAGCUUGUUGGCGGGGUAAUGGCCUACCAAGGCGACGACGGGUAGCCGGCCUGAGAGGGUGACCGGCCACACUGGGACUGAGACACGGCCCAGACUCCUACGGGAGGCAGCAGUGGGGAAUAUUGCACAAUGGGCGAAAGCCUGAUGCAGCGACGCCGCGUGAGGGAUGACGGCCUUCGGGUUGUAAACCUCUUUCAGCACGGAAGAAGCGAAAGUGACGGUACGGCAGAAG
rnacentral:rRNA from 1 species